GUUGAAACACCGAUUCUCGUUCGAUCACCGAACUUAAGCAAUGCCGAGCUUGGUCAGUAUCUUGAUGGGUGACCGCUUGGGAAUACCGGGUGCUGUAAG